CCUACGUGUGGCAGCAGUGGGGAAUAUUGCGCAAUGGGCGAAAGCCUGACGCAGCGACGCCGCGUGAGGGAUGAAGGUCUUCGGAUCGUAAACCUCUGUCAGCAGGGAAGAACGGUCACUGUGCUAAUCAGCAGUGAAUUGACGGUACCUGCAAAGGAAGCACAGGCUAACUCCGUGCCAGCAGCCGCGGUAAUACGUAGGGUGCGAGCGUUAAUCGGAAUUACUGGGCGUAAAGCGCUCGUAGGCGGUAUGGCAAGUCAAGGGUGAAAUCCCCGCGCUCAACGUGGGAACUGCCUUGGAAUCUGGCAAACUGGAGUGUGUGAGAGGAUAGUGGAAUUCCAGGUGUAGGAGUGAAAUCCGUAGAUAUCUGGAGGAACAUCAGUGGCGAAGGCGACUAUCUGGCACAUAACUGACGCUGAGGAGCGAAAGCGUGGGUAGCAAACAGGAUUAGAUACCCCGGUAGUC
rnacentral:rRNA from 1 species